AUAUCAAUAAGCGGAGGAAAAGAAACCAACAGGGAUUGCCCCAGUAACGGCGAGUGAAGCGGCAGGAGCUCAAAUUUGAAAUCUGACCUCCUCCGGGGGUCCGAGUUGUAAUUUGCAGAGGAUGCUUCGGGUGCGGCCCCCGUCUAAGUUCCUUGGAACAGGACGUCAGAGAGGGUGAGAAUCCCGUCUUGGGCGGGCGGCCCGCGCCCGUGUGAAGAUCCUUCGACGAGUCGAGUUGUUUGGGAAUGCAGCUCUAAGCGGGUGGUAAAUUUCAUCUAAAGCUAAAUACUGGCCGGAGACCGAUAGCGCACAAGUAGAGUGAUCGAAAGGUUAAAAGCACCUUGAAAAGGGAGUUAAACAGCACGUGAAAUUGUUGAAAGGGAAGCGCUUGCGGCCAGACUCGGGGGCGGGGUUCAGCGGGCGCUCGUCGCCCGUGCACUCCCCGCGCCCCGGGCCAGCAUCAGUUUCGACGGCCGGUCAAAGGCCCCCGGAAUGUGUCGUCUCUAGGGACGUCUUAUAGCCGGGGGUGCAAUGCGGCCCGUCGGGACUGAGGAACGCGCUCCGGCUCGGAUGCUGGCGUAAUGGCCGUAAGCGGC
rnacentral:rRNA from 1 species